UCCUGUGAUACCAUCCUUAAGGUCAUCCAGUUCUACCAGGUACUUCAAAAGACUUGGGAAACGAAGCAAACCUGCUGGUCAGGAUGUUUCUCAGAUUUGAUAUGGUCAGGAGGUACUUCAGCUGUGUCCCGCAGGCGAUAUCUAAUGUCCAUACCAUGACUACCAGUAUAGGUGUCCCGGAGCAGGUAUCUAAUGUCCAUACCAUGACUACCAGUAUAGGUGUCCCGGAGCAGGUAUCUAAUGUCCAUACCAUGACUACCAGCAUAGAGAAGUUCAAGAAUUCCAACC
rnacentral:lncRNA from 1 species